GUCUAGUGAAAGUAAAAAGAAGAAAAACAGAGCUAAGCCAAGGAAAUGAUUUCUUUCCCACCUACAAUGCAUGAAAAGAAAUUAACAUGAAAAGGGUCUGAGGAAGACAUUAAUAUUUUGAUAGUGGCAGAAGAAUGUUAUUUACAAAAAUAAUGACAAAUGUUGAAGAGAAAAUACAGGCUUCCUAGCAACUAGACCAAAGAUAAGAUGCUGUUGAAUUCAAGAUAGACAUUUGGAAUAUACAGUUAGCUGUCAUUUGAACACAGGCCCAUGGCACAAGUUCAGAAACGUAAAGUUACAGAGAAAAUAAAGACCCCCAGAGCAAAAUCACCACAGUCUCCAUGGAAAUCAAUUGGUUCAUUCUUCGUCUUAAGAGUCCAGCAUUCACUCAACAAACAUCUUAUGCUGCCAGGUUUCUCUAAUGCAGCAGGUACGGUCACUAGGAAGAUUACAAACUUGGGUUAAAAAACCUAGAUCACGUUCAAGAUGUUGCAGCUGAGCAGUUACAAUCCAAGAGACUAGGCCCAGACAGAAGGAUAUGCCACAGCAGGAGACAGGAUCCAGAAUGAGAAUAGACAAAAGACAUUUUCAAAAGUCCAGGUUCACAGCUUGACAGAAGCCUUCACACAGAAAGAGCCAUUGCACAUUGGACAGAUGAUCCCAGAAUGGAAGUUUCCAGAGGAAAUAACAGUCAAUAAACAGGACCAACUACAUAACAAAAGCAAUAUUGGUUACUUGCUGGUUUUUAGAACAUGAGCACAGGGGUUGAUCCCAGGAUUCUGUGCCUGCUAAGCAAACAUUCUGUCACAGAGCUACACCUCCCGUUCCAGAUGAAUUACUGGUGUGAUGAAUUUGACUUCAACUUAAUGACACAACUUGUAAUGUUACCAAAAAAAAAAAAAAAAAAAGGAAUAAUUCCACAAGGCAAACAUUCAAACAUAAAUCCACGAAGUUGAACGUCAUCAGCGAUCUGAUUCAUUUUAUGAUUAGAAUAACAUUCCUUAAUAAUUCUUAUAUAACAUGGCUUGAGAUACCCAAAGUACAUAUUUUCUAUCAACACAAAUGCUUCUUCACCAUGUAUCCUAGGAAAAAAAUCACCUAGGGGUGAUUAUUAAAAAAAAAAAAAAAA
rnacentral:lncRNA from 1 species